GACAGAGGGUGCAACCGUUGCUCGGAAUCACUGGGCGUAAAGGGCGCGUAGGCGGGAAUGUAAGUCGGGCGCGAAAUCCCUAGGCUCAACCUAGGAACUGCACUCGAAACUGCGUUUCUUGAGUAUCGGAGAGGAAAGCGGAAUUCCUGGUGUAGAGGUGAAAUUCGUAGAUAUCAGGAGGAACACCAGUGGCGAAGGCGGCUUUCUGGACGGUAACUGACGCUGAGGCGCGAAAGCGUGGGGAGCAAACAGG
rnacentral:rRNA from 1 species